rnacentral:tRNA from 1 species
AUCUAUAUAGCUUAAUGGUUAAAGCAUAUUAUUUCUAAUGAUAUUAUCUAAGUUCAAUCCUUAGUAUAGAUU